GGUGAUCCUCCACACUGGCACUGAGACACGGGCCAGACUCCUACGGGAGGCAGCAGUGAGGAAUAUUGCGCAAUGGGCGAAAGCCUGACGCAGCCAAACCGCGUGCAGGAAGACGGUCGUAAGAUUGUAAACUGCUUUAGUAUCCCGAGGAACAAUCAGAACGAGUUUUUGAUUUGACAGUAGGAUACGAACAAGCACCGGCUAACUCCGUGCCAGCAGCCGCGGUAAUACGGAGGGUGCAGGCGUUAUCCGGAUUUACUAGGUUUAAAGGGUCUGUAGGCUGUAUAUUAAGUCAGUGGUGAAAUGUCUGAGCUUAACUGAGGACUUGCCAUUGAAACUGGUAUACUUGAGUAUGGUUGCUGUCGGCGGAAUGUAUUAUGUAGCGGUGAAAUGCAUAGAUAUGAUACAGAACACCAAUUGCGAAAGCAGCUGACAAAACCAGCACUGACGCUGAUAGACGAAAGCGUGGGGAGCGAACAGGAUUAGAUACCCUGGUAGUCCACGCAGUAAACUAUGGGCACUAGUUUUUGGCGAUAGACAGUCAGAGACAAAGCGAAAGCGUUAAGUGCCCCACCUGGGGAUUACGUUCGCAAGAAUGAAACUCAAAGGAAUUGACGGGGGCCCGCACAAGCGGAGGAACAUGUGGUUUAAUUCGAUGAUACGCGAGGAACCUUACCUGGGCUUAAAUGCUAGGCGUCUUCGGGCGUAGUCUGUAGAAAUACAGCUUAAACUUGCAAGGUGCUGCAUGGUUGUCGUCAGCUCGUGCCGUGAGGUGUCGGGUUAAGUCCCAUAACGAGCGCAACCCACAUUCUUAGUUGCCAUCAAAUAAGUUGGGCACUCUAGGAAAACUGCCAUCGUAAGAUGUGAGGAAGGUGUGGAUGACGUCAAAUCAGCACGGCCCUUAUGUCCAGGGCUACACACGUGUUACAAUGGUCGGUACAAAAGGCAGCGACCUGGUAACAGAGAGCUAAUCUUAAAAACCGGCCUCAGUUCGGAUUGGAGUCUGCAAUUCGACUCCAUGAAGUCGGAUUCGCUAGUAACCGCGUAUCAGCAAUGACGCGGUGAAUACGUUCCCGGGCCUUGUACACACCGCCCGUCAAGCCAUGGAAGCUGGGUGCACCUGAAGUC
rnacentral:rRNA from 1 species